UACGGAGGGUGCAAGCGUUAUCCGGAUUCACUGGGUUUAAAGGGUGCGUAGGUGGGCGAGUAAGUCAGUGGUGAAAUCUCCGGGCUUAACCCGGAAACUGCCAUUGAUACUAUUCGUCUUGAAUGUUGUGGAGGUAAGCGGAAUAUGUCAUGUAGCGGUGAAAUGCUUAGAUAUGACAUAGAACACCAAUUGCGAAGGCAGCUCGCUACACGAAGAUUGACUCUGAGGCACGAAAGCGUGGGGAUCAAACAGG
rnacentral:rRNA from 1 species